AUGAUUUUUAAAGCAAACCAAGCUUUUUUUUAAAAAGUAAGGUUUUGCGAAAUAAUAUUUAAAACCCCCCACUCUUUUAAAAAAAAUUUUCAUUCAUAUAUAAUGAAUAAAAAAAGA
rnacentral:misc_RNA from 1 species